rnacentral:rRNA from 1 species
UGAACGCUAGCGACAGGCUUAACACAUGCAAGUCGAGGGGCAGCACAGGUAGCAAUACCGGGUGGCGACCGGCGCACGGGUGAGUAACGCGUAUGCAACUUACCUAUCAGAGGGGGAUAACCCGGCGAAAGUCGGACUAAUACCGCAUGAAGCAGGGGCCCCGCAUGGGGAUAUUUGCUAAAGAUUCAUCGCUGAUAGAUAGGCAUGCGUUCCAUUAGGCAGUUGGCGGGGUAACGGCCCACCAAACCGACGAUGGAUAGGGGUUCUGAGAGGAAGGUCCCCCACAUUGGUACUGAGACACGGACCAAACUCCUACGGGAGGCAGCAGUGAGGAAUAUUGGUCAAUGGCCGAGAGGCUGAACCAGCCAAGUCGCGUGAGGGAUGAAGGUUCUAUGGAUCGUAAACCUCUUUUAUAAGGGAAUAAAGUGCGGGACGUGUCCCGUUUUGUAUGUACCUUAUGAAUAAGGAUCGGCUAACUCCGUGCCAGCAGCCGCGGUAAUACGGAGGAUCCGAGCGUUAUCCGGAUUUAUUGGGUUUAAAGGGUGCGUAGGCGGCCUUUUAAGUCAGCGGUGAAAGUCUGUGGCUCAACCAUAGAAUUGCCGUUGAAACUGGGAGGCUUGAGUAUGUUUGAGGCAGGCGGAAUGCGUGGUGUAGCGGUGAAAUGCAUAGAUAUCACGCAGAACCCCGAUUGCGAAGGCAGCCUGCCAAGCCAUUACUGACGCUGAUGCACGAAAGCGUGGGGAUCAAACAGGAUUAGAUACCCUGGUAGUCCACGCAGUAAACGAUGAUCACUAGCUGUUUGCGAUACACUGUAAGCGGCACAGCGAAAGCGUUAAGUGAUCCACCUGGGGAGUACGCCGGCAACGGUGAAACUCAAAGGAAUUGACGGGGGCCCGCACAAGCGGAGGAACAUGUGGUUUAAUUCGAUGAUACGCGAGGAACCUUACCCGGGUUUGAACGCAUUCGGACCGAGGUGGAAACACCUUUUCUAGCAAUAGCCGUUUGCGAGGUGCUGCAUGGUUGUCGUCAGCUCGUGCCGUGAGGUGUCGGCUUAAGUGCCAUAACGAGCGCAACCCUUGCCACUAGUUACUAACAGGUAAAGCUGAGGACUCUGGUGGGACUGCCAGCGUAAGCUGCGAGGAAGGCGGGGAUGACGUCAAAUCAGCACGGCCCUUACAUCCGGGGCGACACACGUGUUACAAUGGCGUGGACAAAGGGAAGCCACCUGGCGACAGGGAGCGAAUCCCCAAACCACGUCUCAGUUCGGAUCGGAGUCUGCAACCCGACUCCGUGAAGCUGGAUUCGCUAGUAAUCGCGCAUCAGCCAUGGCGCGGUGAAUACGUUCCCGGGCCUUGUACACACCGCCCGUCAAGCCAUGGGAGCCGGGGGUACCUGAAGUCCGUAACCGCGAGGAUCGGCCUAGGGUAAAACUGGUGACUGGGG